rnacentral:tRNA from 1 species
GCCUUCGUGGUGAAAUGGUAGACACUCAUGACUUAAAAUCAUGUGCAUUUAAAAGCGUACCGGUUCAAGUCCGGUCGAAGGUA